GGACCCGCACAAGCGGUGGAUUAUGUGGAUUAAUUCGAUGCAACGCGAAAAACCUUACCUACCCUUGACAUGUCCGAAAGCCCGCAGAGAUGUGGGUGUGCCCGAAAGGGAAUCGGAACACAGGUGCUGCAUGGCUGUCGUCAGCUCGUGUCGUGAGAUGUUGGGUUAAGUCCCGCAACGAGCGCAACCCUUGUCAUUAGUUGCUACAUUCAGUUGGGCACUCUAAUGAGACUGCCGGUGACAAACCGGAGGAAGGUGGGGAUGACGUCAAGUCCUCAUGGCCCUUAUGGGUAGGGCUUCACACGUAAUACAAUGGCGCGUACAGAGGGUUGCCAAGGAGCGAUCUGGAGCCAAUCCCGAAAAGCGCGUCGUAGUCCGGAUUGCAGUCUGCAACUCGACUGCAUGAAGUCGGAAUCGCUAGUAAUCGCGGAUCAGCAUGUCGCGGUGAAUACGUUCCCGGGUCUU
rnacentral:rRNA from 1 species